GCCUUCGGGAACCGUGAGACAGGUGCUGCAUGGCUGUCGUCAGCUCGUGUUGUGAAAUGUUGGGUUAAGUCCCGCAACGAGCGCAACCCUUAUCCUUUGUUGCCAGCGGUUAGGCCGGGAACUCAAAGGAGACUGCCAGUGAUAAACUGGAGGAAGGUGGGGAUGACGUCAAGUCAUCAUGGCCCUUACGACCAGGGCUACACACGUGCUACAAUGGCGCAUACAAAGAGAAGCGACCUUGCGAGAGCAAGCGGACCUCAUAAAGUGCGUCGUAGUCCGGAUUGGAGUCUGCAACUCGACUCCAUGAAGUCGGAAUCGCUAGUAAUCGUGGAUCAGAAUGCCACGGUGAAUACGUUCCCGGGCCUUGUACACACCGCCCGUCACACCAUGGGAGUGGGUUGCAAAAGAAGUAGGUAGCUUAACCUUCGGGAGGGCGCUUACCACUUUGUGAUUCAUGACUGGGGUGAAGUCGUAACAAGGUAACCGUAGGGGAACCUGCGGUUGGAUCACCUCCUUACCUUAAAGAAGC
rnacentral:rRNA from 1 species